rnacentral:rRNA from 1 species
CCGGCCGCCAGCGGCGCUCGCAAAGUUCGGAUCCGCAAGGACCGGGCCAGCGGGACGUCCGCGUGGCAGGGUGCACUUUCUCCGCGGUCGAGUGCUACGACCGGUUUCGGGGCGGUCAGAAGCCCGGCGGAAAGGUAGCGCCGCCCCUCGGGGUGUCGUGUUAUAGGCCGCCGCGGUGGACUCGCCGCGAGACCGAGGACGCUUGCCGCGCCGAGCGGUCCCGGGCCGUCUGGGGAGGUUCGACCUCGGCUGCACUGCUCCGCAGAGCACCGUAACCGCCGCCCUAGCACGGGUCCGGAGACCGCCGGCGCCUCGGGUCAGUAGCG